GUGAGUGCUGGGUAGAAUGGGA
rnacentral:miRNA from 1 species